UCCCUAGUGGCUCAGUUGGUAAAGAAUCUGCCUGCAACGCAGGAGACCCAGGUUCAAUCCUUGGAUCAGGAA
rnacentral:tRNA from 1 species